rnacentral:lncRNA from 1 species
UUUUGGUUUUUUUGGGAGGGUUUUUUGUUUUUUUGUUGUUUUUUUUUUUUUUUCUCCUUCAGUGCAAAGCAGCAUGAUUCAUUGUAUUUCCUUCUUAGUGAUCUCUCCUGGUUCCUCACCCCAUGUUCUCCACUGAUCAGACCCAUUGGUGAUUAGAUGCUCAGCAGAAGUGAUUUUGCAGCCUUUGACACCUUGCAUCCCCUGCUGCCUGGAUUUCAAAGAGAGAAAAACAACUUCUGGAUUACCUCAAGUGCGCUGGCAACAUAAGUAGCAACAGACUUCCAGAUGAAGAAGCCUAUGUGGAACAUGUAAAAUGGUAAGCAAAACUUGUGUGCUGAGUCUUAUGAAAAGUGUAAGAAAAGGAAAUUCUGCAGCUUGGGUUCCAACAUUCAUGUUUACUUUUAAAUCUAAAUGUGACCAGAC